rnacentral:rRNA from 1 species
UACGGAGGGUGCGAGCGUUGUCCGGAAUCAUUGGGCGUAAAGGGCGCGUAGGUGGCCCGGUCAGUUCGUGGUGAAAGCGCGGGGCUCAACCCUGCGUCGGCCAUGAAUACUGCCGCGGCUGGAGCACUGUAGAGGCAGGCGGAAUUCCGGGUGUAGCGGUGGAAUGCGUAGAGAUCCGGAAGAACACCGGUGGCGAAGGCGGCCUGCUGGGCAGUUGCUGACACUGAGGCGCGAAAGCGUGGGGAGCGAACAGG